rnacentral:rRNA from 1 species
UACGUAGGUGGCAAGCGUUGUCCGGAUUUACUGGGCGUAAAGAGCGCGCAGGCGGUCGUUCAAGUCGCGUGUGAAAGCCCCCGGCUCAACUGGGGAGGGUCACGCGAUACUGAUCGACUCGAAGGCAGGAGAGGGUAGUGGAAUUCCCGGUGUAGUGGUGAAAUGCGUAGAUAUCGGGAGGAACACCAGUGGCGAAGGCGGCGACCUGGACGGACACUGACGCUGAGACGCGAAAGCGUGGGUAGCAAACAGG